CCAGUCGGCCGGACGGUCGCUGGCGCGGCGGCUUGCGUCGUGGCUACCGGCCAUGGCCACAAUCUUCGCGCUGGAGGAAAGUCCGGGCUCCAUGGAAACACGGUGGCGGCUAACGGCCGCCGGGGGCGACCCCAGGGAAAGUGCCACAGAAAGCAAACCGCCUUGCGGCUUCGGCGGCGGGCAAGGGUGAAAGGGUGCGGUAAGAGCGCACCGCGCGGCUGGCGACAGUCGUGGCAAGGUAAACCCCACCGGGAGCAAGACCAAAUAGGGGUGGCCGGGCGCGUGUGGUUCGCCGCAUGGCGCCGAGCCCGUUUCCAGGCCCGCUACCCGGGUUGGUUGCUCGAGGCGUCCAGCAAUGGGCGUCCCAGAUGAAUGGCCGUCGCGGAGGCAACUCCAGACAGAACCCGGCUUACAGGCCGACUGGUGAA
rnacentral:RNase_P_RNA from 1 species